rfam:Triticum urartu cultivar G1812 contig45050, whole genome shotgun sequence.
AAGUUACUCCCUCCAUCCAGAAAUACUUGUCGUAGAAAUGCAUAAAAAUGGAUAUAUCUAGAACUAAAGUACAUCUAGAUACAUCCAUUCCUCGACAAGUAUUUUCGGGCGGAGGGGGGCUGUC